rnacentral:rRNA from 1 species
GAGGGUGCAAGCGUUAUCCGGUUUUAUUGGGUUUAAAGGGUGCGUAGGCUGUUCGGUAAGUCAGCGGUGAAAUUUCCGGGCUCAACCCGGGACUUGCCGUUGAUACUGCCGGGCUGGAAUGCGGAUGCCGCCGGAGGAAUGUGUGGUGUAGCGGUGAAAUGCAUAGAUAUCACACAGAACACCGAUUGCGAAGGCAUCUGGCGAAUCCGCUAUUGACGCUGAAGCACGAAAGCGCGGGGAUCAAA